rnacentral:rRNA from 1 species
AACGAACGCUGGCGGCAUGCCUAACACAUGCAAGUCGAACGAGACCUUCGGGUCUAGUGGCGCACGGGUGCGUAACGCGUGGGAACCUGCCCUUAGGUUCGGAAUAACUCCCCGAAAGGGGUGCUAAUACCGGAUAAUGUCUUCGGACCAAAGAUUUAUCGCCUUUGGAUGGGCCCGCGUUGGAUUAGCUAGUUGGUAGGGUAAAAGCCUACCAAGGCGACGAUCCAUAGCUGGUCUGAGAGGAUGAUCAGCAACACUGGGACUGAGACACGGCCCAGACUCCUACGGGAGGCAGCAGUGGGGAAUAUUGGACAAUGGGCGAAAGCCUGAUCCAGCAAUGCCGCGUGAGUGAUGAAGGCCUUAGGGUUGUAAAGCUCUUUUACCCGGGAUGAUAAUGACAGUACCGGGAGAAUAAGCUCCGGCUAACUCCGUG